rnacentral:ncRNA from 1 species
UCGCCCACAAUUUGUUUAUAUGGUUUUAAUAUGGAUGUAUUCGGGCGCGCUGUGCAAAAGCCGCGUGUUUCCGGUGGUCGGCUUUGGCUGAAGCUCUGAUAGGGGCAUCUUUGCUGGAAUGUUUUCGAAUGCGAGGCAUUCGAAAACAUUCCACGUUUGAUCUCCUCGCGCUAACCCCGUAGCGCGUGGUUUUUAGCGGGCUCCAGGCCCGCUUUUUUUC